UUCUCCCUUUAUUUACUUUCCCAUUAAAUCACAUUCAUCAUUUUGGCCCUCCUUUAACUCUAUCUUUUUGGGCUCUUCCUCUUCUUAUCAAAACCUUCAAUGCCUGCCCCUUUGGAAUUAAAUCCCAUUCAUUUGUUUUUUAUUUAUUUAUAUAUAGAUUUCCAAUUCUCUCUCCACCACUGCAGAAGUCACCAAAGUACAAGCAGAGUUGGAAAGUCCCUUUAAGGAAUUUUGAUGUGAAGUAAGGAAUAAGUUUUUCAUGGCCAUACUUCUUACUUGGAUGUUUUCCAAUGACUCUUUGUAAUGUACACAUUUUGAUUACUUAAAAUUUUUCAUAUAGAUGUUGAAUUGGAUCUGUAGUUAACUUUUUUGUUUAGGCUUGGUGCAUCACAAAGAGGUCCCCUCUUCUCAACAAUGUCCAACUCUCUAUUCACAAUCAAUGUUUAAAUGUUGUGCUUUGGGUGAAAGCUGAAUACCCUGAAGAGGUAGGCGAUUCCAAAGCUACUAAAUGAUUCUUCAGAGAACAAGAGUAGUAAAGUUGCUUUGGAAGAACCAUGAUUUUCUUAAAGUCAAUCAAUGUCCAUGUAACUAAAUUUCAAUAAGCAAUGAGUAAAAUGUAUAAAUUUUUUUGCUCAUAAGUGUUUCAUUUUUUUUCCCCUCUGACUUCUCCAUGAGAUGGGAA